rnacentral:rRNA from 1 species
AAAAGGGGUGCAACACGAGGACUUCCCAGGAGGUCACCCAUCCUAGUACUACUCUCGCCCAAGCACGCUUAACUGCGGAGUUCUGAUGGGAUCCGAUGCAUUAGUGCUGGUAUGAU